AUAUUGUUUGUAGCAAUACAGGCGAUGUCUAGUGGCGCAAGGGUGCGUAACACGUGGGUAAUCUGCCAGGAAGUGGGGGAUAGCUCGCCGAAAGGCGAAUUAAUACCGCAUGUGGCCAGGGAAGAGAUCUUCCCGACGCCAAAGCCGGGGCAACCUGGCGCUUCCUGAUGAACGCGCGGCCUAUCAGCUAGUUGGUGAGGUAACGGCUCACCAAGGCGAUGACGGGUAGCUGGUCUGAGAGGACGACCAGCCACACUGGAACUGAGACACGGUCCAGACACCUACGGGUGGCAGCAGUCGAGAAUUUUUCUCAAUGGGCGCAAGCCUGAAGGAGCGACGCCGCGUGGAGGAUGAAGGUCUUCGGAUUGUAAACUCCUGUCAUUAGGGAACAAAGUCCCCGGUUAACUGCCGGCGGGCCUGAUAGUACCUGAAGAGGAAGAGACGGCUAACUCUGUGCCAGCAGCCGCGGUAAUACAGAGGUCUCAAGCGUUGUUCGGAUCCAUUGGGCGUAAAGGGUGCGUAGGCGGCGAGGUAAGUCGGAUGUGAAAUCCCGGGGCUUAACCCCGGAACUGCUUUCGAUACUGCCCUGCUCGAGUACUGGAGAGGAGACUGGAAUUUACGGUGUAGCAGUGAAAUGCGUAGAUAUCGUAAGGAAGACCAGUGGCGAAGGCGAGUCUCUGGACAGUUACUGACGCUGAGGCACGAAGGCCAGGGGAGCAAACGGGAUUAGAUACCCCGGUAGUCCUGGCAGUAAACGGUGCACGUUUGGUGUGGGAGGAUUCGACCCCUUCCGUGCCGGAGCUAACGCGUUAAACGUGCCGCCUGGGGAGUACGGUCGCAAGAUUAAAACUC
rnacentral:rRNA from 1 species